rnacentral:rRNA from 1 species
UACGGGGGGGCAAGCGUUGUUCGGAAUUACUGGGCGUAAAGGGCUCGUAGGCGGCCAACUAAGUCAGACGUGAAAUCCCUCAGCUUAACUGGGGAACUGCGUCUGAUACUGGAUGGCUUGGAUUCGGGAGAGGAAUGCGGAAUUCCAGGUGUAGCGGUGAAAUGCGUAGAUAUCUGGAGGAACACCGGUGGCGAAGGCGGCAUUCUGGACCGACAUUGACGCUGAGGAGCGAAAGCCAGGGGAGCAAAGCGGG